CUUGGGGGCGGUAACCAGCCCUCAGUUGUGGAAGUCUGCUGAAAUGAAGAAGACAAAGGUGUCUGGGCAGAGGUUUCUUCAGGGUCACAUCUCCUCUGUGCAUGAGCUGGUGACCUACGCCUAUCUGUGGAUCAGGCCAACGGUUGCCCGGCAGCAGCUGGAAGAGCUGACGUCCGAGGCUGCGACCAUCGCUAUGCUGGUGAUCGACAAGGACCAAGUGUUGCUGAAAUGAUGGUAUCUUUAGGAAGUGGAGAAACCUGCCAACGUCUGCAAAGAGUGCUGCAACACUGAUAUGAAGAACACAAGACUUUGUAGAGUUGAAAUCUAUUCUUUGGUCUCUAUAUGUAUGUUAUCUGUCUUAUACGUGUGUAAACGAAUAAAAAAUGAUUUUGAUAG